UUUUAAGCUACAAAGGGCUUACGGUGGAUGCCUUGGCACUAAGAAGCGAUGAAGGACGUGGUAAGCUGCGAUAAGCUUCGGGGAGUGGCACACACACUUUGAUCCGGAGAUUUCCGAAUGGGGAAACCCACCAUUUAUGGUAUCACUCAAUGAAUACAUAGUUGUUUGAAGCAAACGAGGGGAAGUGAAACAUCUCAGUACCCUCAGGAAGAGAAAUCAAAUCCGAGAUUACCCUAGUAGUGGCGAGCGAACGGGUAAGAGCCUAAACCUAGUUCAUUAAUUUGAGUUAGGGGUCGUGGGACCGCGAUGUGGGACCGGAGAAGUUAGAGUAACAGUCUGGAAAGUCUGGCAAGAUAGGGUGAUAGCCCCGUACUCGAAAACUUCGAAGGCCCUAGCGGCAUCCCGAGUACCACAGAACACGUGAAAUUCUGUGGGAAUCUGUGAGGACCACCUCAUAAGGCUAAAUAUUCCUUAGUGACCGAUAGAGAACAAGUACCGUGAGGGAAAGGUGAAAAGAACCCCGAGAGGGGAGUGAAAUAGAACCUGAAACCGUAAGCUUACAAGCAGUUAGAGCCCUUUAUAUGGGUGAUAGCGUACCUUUUGCAUAAUGAGUCAGCGAGUUAUGUUUGCAAGCGAGGUUAAGCCGUUGCAGGUGGAGCCGUAGCGAAAGCGAGUCUGAAUAGGGCGAUUUAGUUUGCAGGCAUAGACCCGAAACCCGGUGAUCUAAUCAUGGACAGGUUGAAGCGGAGGUAACACUCCGUGGAGGACCGAACAAGUUGAAGUUGAAAAUUCUUUUGAUGAUCUGUGAUUAGGGGUGAAAGGCCAAUCAAACUGGGUGAUAGCUGGUUCUCCCCGAAAUAUAUUUAGGUAUAGCGUUGAGUAAUAAAGUAUCGCGGAGGUAGAGCACUGAAUGGGCUAGGGGUCUUUACCGGAUUACCAAACCCAAAUAAACUCCGAAUGCCGCAGAUAUGUUCCUCAGCAGGCAGACUCAGGGUGAUAAGGUCAUGAGUCGAGAGGGAAAGAGCCCAGACCAACAGCUAAGGUCCCUAAAUGCACGCUCAGUGGAGAACGUUGUGGAGUUACUUUGACAACUAGGAGGUUGGCUUAGAAGCAGCAAUCCUUUAAAGAAAGCGUAAUAGCUCACUAGUCUAGUGACUCUGCGCGGAAGAUACAACGGGGCUAAGCGUGUUACCGAAGCUUUGGAUUAAGAUAUUUUAUAUUUUAGUGGUAGGGGAGCGUUCUAGUAUAGGAUGAAGGUUGACCGGUAGGACAGCUGGACGAACUAGAAGUGAUCAUGCUGACAUAAGUAGCGUUGAACUCGGGUGAAAAACCCGGGCGCCGAAAACUCAAGGAUUCCUGGGCAAGGAUAAUCCUCCCAGGGUUAGUCGAGACCUAAGAUGAGGCCAAUUGGCGUAAUCGAUGGCAAAACGGUUAAUAUUCCGUUACCUAGCAAAUUGUGUUUAAGGAAUGACGGUGUAGGAUAUCACAGCCUCUUAUUGGAUUGAGGUGUAAGCAUGUAGGAGGAUCAGUAGGCAAAUCCGCUGGUCGUAACUCUGAGGUGUGAAUGCGAGGGACUUUGUCCCGGAAGUGUGAAAAGCCAUGCAUCCAAGAAAAGUUUCGUAAAUUUAGAUUUGUUAGCUCGUACCGUAAACCGACUCAGGUGAGUGGGGUGAAUAUCCUAAGGCGAUGGGGUGAACUUUGGUCAAGGAACUCGGCAACUUAACACCGUAACUUCGGGAAAAGGUGUGCCCGAGAGAGUGUAAGGAUUUACUCCCCAAGCUUUUUCGGGUCGCAGAGAAAUGGGAGUAGCGACUGUUUAUCAAAAACACAGGUAUGUGCAAAGUCACAAGACGAAGUAUACAUACUGACGCCUGCCCGGUGCUGGAAGGUUAAGAGGAUUAGUUAGCGUAAGCGAAGCUGAGAAUCGAAGCCCCAGUAAACGGCGGCCGUAACUAUAACGGUCCUAAGGUAGCGAAAUUCCUUGUCGGGUAAGUUCCGACCUGCACGAAUGGCGUAACGACUUCUCCGGUGUCUCGACCAAAUGCCUCGCGAAAUUGAAUUCUCGGUGAAAAUGCCGAGUACCCGCAGAAAGACGGAAAGACCCCGUGAACCUUUACUGUAGCUUGGCAGUGAUUUUAGAGUUGGCAUGUGUAGGAUAGGUGGGAGACUUUGAAGCCGUGGCGCUAGCCAUGGUGGAGUCAACCUUGAAAUACCACCCUUGGCACCUUUGAAAUCUAACCUGCUGCUCUUUACGAGCAGAGGGACACUGUCUGGUGGGCAGUUUGACUGGGGCGGUCGCCUCCCAAAAAGUAACGGAGGCGCGCGAUGGUCCCCUCAGCCUGAUUGGAAACCAGGCGUCGAGUGCAUUGGCAUAAGGGGGCUUGACUGCGAGACCUACAAGUCGAGCAGGUGCGAAAGCAGGCCAAAGUGAUCCGGUGGUCCCGCGUGGAAGGGCCAUCGCUCAACGGAUAAAAGGUACUCCGGGGAUAACAGGCUUAUUCCAUCCAAGAGUCCAUAUCGACGAUGGAGUUUGGCACCUCGAUGUCGGCUCAUCACAUCCUGGGGCUGGAGCAGGUCCCAAGGGUUUAGCUGUUCGCUAAUUAAAGUGGUACGCGAGCUGGGUUCAGAACGUCGUGAGACAGUUUGGUCCUUAUCUUCUGUGGGCGCAUGAAAUUUGAGCAGACCUGUCCUUAGUACGAGAGGACCGGGAUGGACGAACCUCUGGUGUUCCUGUUGUCACGCCCGUGGCAGUGCAGGGUAGCUAUGUUCGGAAUUGAUAACCGCUGAAAGCAUCUAAGCGGGAAGCAAACUGCGAGAUUAGAUUUCACUGGGGCUUCGGCCCCCUAAAGACUCCUUGGAGACUACGAGGUUGAUAGGCGGAAGGUGUAAGUACAGUAAUGUAUUCAGCUGAUCCGUACUAAUAGGUCGUGAGGCUUUUUUAA
rnacentral:rRNA from 1 species